UACGGGGGGGGCAAGCGUUGUUCGGAUUCAUUGGGCGUAAAGGGUGCGUAGGUGGCGUCGUAAGUCGGGUGUGAAAUUUCGGAGCUCAACUCCGAAACUGCAUUCGAUACUGCGGUGCUUGAGGACUGGAGAGGAGACUGGAAUUUACGGUGUAGCAGUGAAAUGCGUAGAGAUCGUAAGGAAGACCAGUGGCGAAGGCGGGUCUCUGGACAGUUCCUGACACUGAGGCACGAAGGCCAGGGGAGCAAACGGG
rnacentral:rRNA from 1 species